AAUAUUUAGAUGGAUAAAAUGGUUGGAUUAUAUGUUGGAUCAAGUGAUAUUUUCAUACCCAAAGAUAUAAUAUUUGCUUGUACGUAAUGUGCAUGUCUUGUUAGGUUCACUAGUGAUAUGAUAUAUCACUAAAGGGAUAAAGCCGCUAGCUUGUUAUAGCACUUGCCUAAAGGGAUGACAUAAUGGUGCACUUGGUUGCUUGCCAAAGUUAAAUAUAAAGAAACAUAUUUGUUUUGGAUUAAGUUUAAAUAAUCCCCCAUUUGAUAAUAACAUGAGCAUGUAUUUUUGCAACACUAAUUCCCACAAUGAUUGAUAGUAGCAUAAAAAAUUUCUUUUCUUAAUAAAUCAAAUUUUUUAGAAUAGAAAAAAAAAUAAUGCUCACAUUAGGAUGUGCUGAUCUUGAUCUUGUGUUAUCUAUGGAUGAACCUUCACCACUUAUAGAUGAAAGUAUAUCAGAAUAGAAGAACUUUUUUGAAAAAUUGGAGCAUUCCAAUCACCUCAGUUUGCUCCUAAAGAAUCUAAUAUGGUGCAUUAGGGGAUCUAUCCUUUCAUAUCAUAAAGCACAUGAUUUCUUGAAUGUUGUGGAGCACCAAUUUGUAAGCCCUAAUAGGACAAAGGU
rnacentral:lncRNA from 1 species